ensembl:lncRNA
AUAUAAGGGCCAGCCACUGAAGAGGGAGCUUCUCUAGGCUGCUUGCUGCGAAGGAGUGCUGUAUAGCCAGCGGGCCUCUUCAUCAGUUAGGUGGUUACUCAGCUAACACUGGGACAACGUGUGAGCGCUUUGAUACAUACUGACACAAAUGACAGGACAAAGAAGCAUGCGUGGAAAUAAAAUGAAAAUUCAGAACAGAUGUCAGGACAUGUUUUUCAUGCUGAAUGUGCAGAGCGGUCAACCAGUGCAACUCUCCACAAUACAGAGUGAGACUUUCGUGUCUGUGUGUGUUCCUGGCAUGUCCAACACGGCUACUGAUUUCAAGAGGAGCUCAAGGAAUGUGCAGAAUUUUGAUAGAAGUGACAAAAACUUGUUCUGCAGCAUUCUUAAACAGAUGUUUCUUAAGAACUAAGCAGUUACUUAUCAAGUUGAUUUCUCCCACCUCUCCCAGUUUUCAACAGCUGAAGAAGGCAUGUGGUGUUAGAGAGUCUUACGGUGUGGGAAACUGUCUUUUGACCAGCAAUUCAACACUAUGGAAAAGGAGCUUUACAAAAAUCGAUACCUUAACAAAGGCCUAGCGUGCAAAUGUAACAACUUGUGGAAAUAGACACAACUAAUAACUGUUGGCAAAUAUCAUUAGCAUCUCCGCAAGGAAUACAACAUAUGACAAUUAGUGACCAGUCCAGCAGAGGUGUUGGCUCUUUGCAUUGGUACAGCUCUUCCGAUCUGGAUUGCAUGAGGAGCAUAAAGGACCAUUCUGCACGUCUGCUUUCCAGAUAGAUUGCUUAGUUCCCAUUUCUUUUCUAAGCUGUACAUUAUUACUACUACAUCUAAAGCCAACAUUUCUGUGACUUCAGAACAAAUUGGAUUGAUUCUAGAAGCUUUUUGGCUUUAUGUAUUUGCAAAAUUGGCACAUGCUGCAUCUGUGCUACUUGAAUUAACAGAACUGUUCAUAUUUUACUGCAGAUUACUGGCAAAUUUUCCUUUAUUAUUUGCAAAUGGGUACUCUGUGUAGUGUGUGAGUCAGUCAACUCCUAUCCAUUUUUAAUAGGUAUAUUAAAACAUGAUGAUAUGAUGAGAUAUUUUAUUAUAUAAAUAGUGAUUUGACCAUCCUGAGAAAGUAUAUAAAAUGCCCUUUUAUAUUGACAGCAGGUAUUUUUAAGUGCUAUAAAUAGUUAAACGUACAAUAGGACUUUCCAUUAUUGUUCUCAUUUGGACUGCGUAGUCAGUCCUUAACCACCUUUAUGUUCAAAGCUGAACUGCAGGAAAACCAGUGACUAAAGUUCUACAUGUAGAAACAUAAUACCUAGAGUCUGCACCCGUAUAUGCCUAUGCUUUUAAGGUAUGUGUAUAUAGUUGAGACUGGACUGAGGUUCAUAUAAGAAUGCAAAUUUUAGUUGUGCUGGUAGCUGCAGAUUAUGUAGGUAAUAUCACAUCAACCUACAAAGAAGGAGGGCUGCUCUAAAAGCCAUGCCUCCUAUUUUACUAUGUUGACCCCCAGUGUCAGAGAUGGAUGUUGGCUGUAGAGGUCAAACCUAUAUUCCAUUACACUGUUGCAGUGUGACAGAUGACAGCAGAGGGGCAGUCUGGAAAAAUGGAGUCUGACAUAGAAGUGUUGAUGAAGUAACGGUGAAUUCCUUCUAUUAGGAAAAUAUCACAUCCAUUGACAUUUAUCGAUGCUUUAUGUAAGUUUAUGGAGACUAAAUACUGGAUGUGAGCACAGUGAGGCGGUGGGUGGUGUGUCUCAGCAUCACAACAGUGACUGACAGUCACCUCCACUGGUGGAGAUUUUUACAAGCACACAUGGUAGGCAUUGGUGAAAAUCUGUAACUACUGCUGCUGACUACGUUGAAAAAUGAUGUUUUGUAGCUGAGAAUUUGCUCUAUAAGAUAGUGUCAUUGUGCUCCUUGUAUCUGUAGUGGCUUUCAAGGAAAUAAAUAGAAAGUAUUACUUUUGGAGCAACUAAAACAUUUUCAAAUACAGAAUUUCAAAUACAGAGAGUAUUGUAGGAAUAGCACCUGUAGCAUUGAUGUUUUCUUGCAGUAAAACAGCUUCUGAGGUUUUCCAGUGUCUUAACUUCAGUUUAAUCACCUGCAAAAGAUACCUAUUGCCAUAUAUUCUCCAAUGCCAUAAACACUACCUCUUAAUUACUAUCUAUGUCUCCAAUGCUAUCUCUAUUUUCUCAGAAAAGAACAAUCUUUAGUAAUAGAAACAAGCUUGAGAGCAUUGUCUGAUCUGAUUAGAUCUCUAAAGCAAAUCAGAGACUAAAUACAGCAGUAUUUUUGUUAGCGCUAGUGCAAACACGCAUUGACACCUCACACAUUUCAGUCAUUGCUGCAGUGGUUGAUUUUAUUGCUAGUUUUAAUCGCUUUAAUUCAAGUGGUUUGAUGAAGGUGCCGGUAUCAAGUUUAAGUUCCAGUACAUUAAAAUGUUAACGCACUGGUUAC